CGCGUAGGCGGUCAUUUAAGUCAGCGUGUGAAAUCGGUUUGGCUUAACCGGAUCGAUGGCGGUUGAAACUGGAUGACGUGGAGUGCGUGGAGAGGCAAGUGGAAUUCCCAGUGUAGCGGUGAAAUGCGUAGAUAUUGGGAAGAACACCGGUGGCGAAGGCGACUUGCUGGCCAGCAACUGACGCUGAGGCGCGAAAGCCAGGGGAGCAAACGG
rnacentral:rRNA from 1 species